rnacentral:pre_miRNA from 1 species
AUAUUACUCCCUCCGUCCCAAAAUUCUUGUCUUACAUUUGUCUAGAUACGGAUGUAUCUAACACUAAAACGUAACUAGAUACAUCCGUAUUUAGACAAAUCUAAGACAAGAAUUUUGGGACGGAGGGAAUAGUUU